UCUUUAAAAUAUAUUUCAAGACUUAGUAAUUUAUGAUUUUGUUUUUUGUCCAGGCCUCGAAAUGCAGUACUACAGGACAGACAUACUUUUUUAUACUCCUGUACGUGCAGAAGCUCCAAUACUACAGGAAUCAUUGUUCUCAUUGAGAAAAAUGUGGAACUAUAGAAAAGGAUUUAUGAACAGAUAUUACUACAUAAAAAUAGCUGAGCUUUAUCAUGAUUCUCAUUAAAUAAUCUUUGGGUGCUUUUGCAAGCAUGAUCCAAGAAAGUAUGAGAAUGGAAGUAUGCACAGCAGCAGAACUAAUUCAAAGUCGACUAUGAAUGGCCCUUAAAUAGUGGAAUUGGAAGCAGUCUGUUGUCAAAGUCAACAUUGUGUUCAAUAAGAACUGUCACAAACUACAGUCCUGAAUAAUGGUAGAAAUUAUGUUAAGAGAAAUGGGAGAACAAAAAUAGUCAUUCAAUCCUGAAUGACUUUCUUCCAUAGAGAAAUGAGCAUUGACACUGUACACUCUUUAUCAUGUGUUACCAGUUGAACACAACUACAUCAAGAUGACAAGUUAUUUUCAUCAGACAACAGAUAUGGCCAAGUAAUAUGCUGUGUACCUCUCGGACACCAUUCUGUCACUCUUCUUUUUGAGGACACAGAUUUUUGGACCACACCUUAUAUUACACGAAAAGGAGAGGGGAAUGGAUAGAAAUCAAAUGUUUUGUUUAGUUCCAGAACUCUCUGAUGACCAUACUGAAGGCUGUGAUGUGAAGUUUAGUGAUGUGGAAGAAGGGAUAGACUUCAGUUUAAACCAUAAUGACUAUGUCAGUGUUGAAUAUAGUGGGUCUUAAGAUCCAGGAAAAAAUAUUAAUGUUUUAGAUGGCUCUUACAGUGUCAUCCAUGACUUAAGAGUGGAGUUCCUACUUACAUAUGGACAGUAAGAGAGGACAAAUAACAUACUCAAGGGAUCAUAUAGCAAUGAAGUGUUAUCUUUCCGAGGAAAAUUGGCAGUAAAUGACAAAAUUCCCUGAGUUUUGUUAACUUUUGUCAAUAAAGCAUGGCAGCCAGAAAGGUGUCGGAGUUGCGGAAGGAGGAACUACUGUACGAAGUAAGUGUCAGGGGUGCCGAUACAUUGGGCAGUGUGGCUGAGUUAGCGCGGCAGCUGCGGGAAGUCACUGACCAAUCAGUUGUACUGCCGCAGGGAAAGCGAGGAUGAGGAACACUGUUGGCAUUCAAACACCAGCAGACAUGAAGACCUGCCAGCCCCAGCAGUCAGUGAUUUUAAGUCCUGAUGAUGAUGGCGGACACAGCUAUUGAAAGCUCGAAUGUUUUACUCAAAGUGACGCAGAUUACAAGAAGAUUUUAUUGACAUACUUAUUUCUUUCAAUUAAAAAUAUGUACAAGUGCUCUCCACAGCACUUAGCAUUACAUCAUACAGUAAGUUAAUUAGAAACAUUAGCUAAAAAUUGCUAUUUUGCCUUGAACUGUUCUUUUUCAA